rnacentral:sRNA from 1 species
UAUGCUCCUCAAAUAAUAUAUUUUUUUCCUUGUCUUAAUGCAGCUCUUUGAUUAAUCAUCUAGUAGUAUAACCAUUGAAAGAAAGUAAUAGGUUUUCUUCAUUUUAUAAAAUCUCUUUUAAAACCUAUCAAUUACCAUUGGUUUGGAAGUGUUUCAAUGUUUUGUUUGAUUUUUCAGAAACCAAGCCAUCUCCUGCCUUGUAGUUUUGUAGCUAUUGGCAUUUUAGUAGCAUUUUUUCUGCUGAUUCAAGCCUGUCCCUGGACAUAUUAUGUAUAUGGUUUGUUGCCAGUGCCAAUAUGGUAUGCGGUUCUAAGAGACGUUUCGCUCUUGUUGCCCAGGCUGGAGUGCAAUGGCACGAUCUCAGCUGGCUGCAUCCUCCACCUCCCAGGUUCAAGCGAUUCUCCUGUCUCAGCCUCCUGAGUAGCUGGGAUUACAGAUUUCAAGUUAUUCAGGACCUUGUCGCAUCAGUGUUGACCUAUCCUCUGAGCCAUUUUGUUGGGUACCUGUUAGCCUUUACCCUGGGAAUUGAAGUAUUAGUUCUCAGUUUUUUCUACCGCUAUAUGCUUACCGCUGGACUUACUGCCUUUGCAGCUUGGCCAUUUCUCACUCGGCUGUGGACUCGAGCAAAGGUCACUUCACUGAGUUGGACUUUCUUCUCUUUGCUCCUGGCAGUGUUCCCACUGAUGCCGGUUGUAGGUCGAAAGCCAGACAUCUCUCUAGUGAUGGGUGCAGGCUUGCUGGUUCUUCUGCUAUCCCUGUGUGUUGUAACAUCUCUCAUGAAAAGAAAAGAUGGCUUUAUAAAGGAAGAGCUAUUGGUACAUCUAUUACAGGUGCUGAGCACAGUGCUCUCCAUGUAUGUUGUGUAUAGCACCCAGAGUAGUCUACUCAGGAAGCAAGGACUGCCUCUUAUGAAUCAAAUUAUUAGCUGGGCAACAUUAGCCUCGUCCUUGGUUGUGCCACUACUGAGUUCUCCAGUUCUCUUUCAGCGAUUGUUCAGCAUACUUCUUUCAUUGAUGUCAACCUACCUACUUCUAAGCACAGGGUAUGAAGCUCUCUUUCCGCUAGUGUUGUCUUGUUUGAUGUUUGUCUGGAUAAACAUAGAACAAGAAACUCUACAACAAUCUGGUGUUUGCUGUAAACAAAAGCUCACCAGUAUCCAGUUCUCUUAUAAUAUUGAUAUAACUCAGUUUCGACAGCUAUAUCUGGAUGACAUCCGUAGGGCCUUUUUCCUUGUUUUCUUCUUAGUGACAGCAUUUUUUGGAACUGGAAAUAUAGCUUCUAUUAACAGCUUUGAUCUUGCCUCUGUUUAUUGCUUUCUGACUGUGUUCAGUCCUUUUGUGAUGGGAGCCCUGAUGAUGUGGAAGCAGUUCAGUUGACUACUCAGUUAUCGUCAAAAAGCCUUUUUCUCAUUGUUCUCGUCAUAUCAGACAUUAUGGCUUUGCAUUUUUUCUUCUUGGUCAAGGAUUAUGGCAGCUGGCUUGAUAUUGGGACAAGGACACUCACCAUGAAUGGAGCUUGCAGGACUGGAAGUUGUUCUGGCAUCAGCCACUAUGUGAUUGUCAUGUCCAUGACCAUCUUUUUGGUGUUCCUCAAUGGCCUGGCCCAGCUGCUCACAACGAAGAAACUCAGACUAUGUGGCAAACCCAAAAGUCACUUCAUGUGAGGUUGCUGAAGCACCAUUCAGCAUCUGGAUCCUGAUUCUGCUUUUAAACUAAAAUCUCAUCAAGGAUUCCAUAAGAAGAUGAAUAUGGAUAUAUAGUAUAUUCUACUCCUGUAAGGAAAAUGGUAUUUGGAAUUCCGAAUUGACAGGUUAUCUGGAACAAAGGAGCUUCUUUUCUUUUUUUUUCUAGGUUUUGCAGGCAUGAAAUAGUGAUUAUAUCUGUGGAAAAACAUAGGAAGGCAUUCUUCUUUUUCAUUUUUUUCCUUUGGCUGGCAGCUCUUUCCAGUGAUGUUGAGAGCACCUGCAGCAAUCUGGUCCCCAACCGCACAACUUCCCACAUACCCAGAGGAGAGCAUAUGCCUGUGGGGGCAGUGCUGAUGGCAUCCAGAGUCAUUGCUGUGGCUGAGCUGGAAGGAAAUCACCAGGUGCCACCGUCAAUAUUUAUCAGCUUUCAGCACUGGUUUUGUUAGACAGUCAGGGUGUAUUAUUUCAAAAGCUUCAAUAGAAAAAGUGUUUGCAGGC